CUCAACUUCUCUUUCCGUUGCCUGAAUCUUGUGUGAUUCCAUGUGGCCAUUUCACUGAAAACCCCCCUCGGAGGCCUACUGCCUUGUGCUGGAGCCAGGAGGGAGGGGAGUGUCCCGGGUUGGCCGAUGACACACAGACUUCUGAAACAGGUCACCUCACCUGACUCGACAAAUAGUUAUUACAAGAUAAAGUCUGUCUGAAACUUUUCUUGAAGACUCUUUUCUGAGCUGCUCAGAACUGAAGACCAAGUAUGACAUGCUUUUCAGCCACCCUCUUACAAAUGUGCCUUGAAAGAGAGAGUGGGUGGGCGGUGAAGAAAGAACAUGAAAAUCAUCUUCCUUGCAGUCUGGCUUUGGAGCUGGCCCAUUUUACCUACAGAGGUGUACUGGCAGACAGAUCCGAGCUGUGAGAAGAGCUUCGUGCCAUGCGCACGAGUAGUUUACAGCCUACAUUCCUCUCUCCGCCCGCAAAGAAGGAAAAGAGGGAGCUUAGGACCGACUUCUGACUUCAUGGGAGGAACUUGUGCAGUCCUUCCCCUGACCUUUCCCACAUCCCUCACAGGUUCACAAGAGGCCCUAUUGGAAUAUCAGAAGAAAUCCUUUUGGAAAUGAAGCCUGGAGUCUUCACCCCAUCCUUAAGCCCCUAUCCCUUGGUUAACUGUUGACCUAAAGCCCCACCCUAAGAACAGCCCCGUUCCAGGGUCUCCCAGUUCGGGUCAUCACCACAUUCUACCUGCUGGCUCACCUCUAGCUACGCUUUCUGUGGCACUGUCAGCUUGGUUUUCUGACAGGUGAUUUGUCUCUCAACCAACCAACCAAAUAUUUCUGUCUUGUAAAAAGUAAAAACAGUUCUUGUUAUGCACUCCCAUGGAUUGCUAAUGUUUUCUGCUACAGUCCUUAUCAUGGCUUGCAAUUUUCUGUAUAUGUAAUUAUAUAUAGAGAAAUAUACAUAUGAUUGCUUUAUGAAUGUCUCUCCCCACUACUAGACUGUAGGAAAACCACGUGUAUCCUGUGUGUCAUUGUAUCCUCUGUGCCUAGUUCUAGUUCUUUUCUCAAGGAGAAUAGGAAAUCCUACCCACCUUUAGCAAGUACAUCCUUGGCUGUCUGGUCACUGGGCAAAAUCUCCAGGGGCUUCCUGGUCACCAUAAUUUCAUCCCUUUAUUCUCUCCUCCCUCUACCAUCUCCUACCCAUAUUAAAAACAAAAAACCUCAAGCAUCUUUUCAAUUACCCUCUUGGGGAGUGUCCCAUAGAUGGAAGAAUCCCAGACUGAAGUCAAGGACUGGCUGGUUAGAAGGAAAAGGCCAGGGAGAACGAGAGAGAGAGAAAGAAUGAACGUGGGCUUCUCCCAAGUCAUAUUUUUGUAUCUUCCUAUAUUCUGUGGGCAUUUGAGAAAUGCUUUGAGACUUAUUAACUUGAUCGCUUUCUGUUCUAUUUCUUCAGCCUACUGAAGA